ensembl:snRNA U6 U6 spliceosomal RNA
AUGCUCUCUUUGGCAGCACAUAUACUAAAAUUGGAACAAUGCAGAGAAGAUUAGCAUGGCCCCUGUGCAAGGAUGACAUACACAUGUGUGAAGUGUUCCAUAUUUUA